UCUCCGUAGGUGAACCAGCGGAGGGAUCACUACAGGCUUGCAAAAGCUCUCAAACCACUGUUUACCUACCUGAAUCUGCUUCGGCGGGCGCCCCCAGGGCGGGUCCGUAGCCGCCAGGCGCCCGCCGAAGACCCCGCAACUCUGUCUUCUUGAGAAUCUCUGAGUAUCAUAUUAAAAAAAAAAACAACUUUCAACAACGGAUCUCUUGGCUCUG
rnacentral:misc_RNA from 1 species